AUUGAACGCUGGCGGCAUGCCUUACACAUGCAAGUCGAACGGUAACAGGUCUUCGGAUGCUGACGAGUGGCGAACGGGUGAGUAAUACAUCGGAACGUGCCCGAGAGUGGGGGAUAACGAAGCGAAAGCUUUGCUAAUACCGCAUACGAUCUCAGGAUGAAAGCAGGGGACCGCAAGGCCUUGCGCUCACGGAGCGGCCGAUGGCAGAUUAGGUAGUUGGUGGGAUAAAAGCUUACCAAGCCGACGAUCUGUAGCUGGUCUGAGAGGACGACCAGCCACACUGGGACGGAGACACGGCCCAGACUCCUACGGGAGGCAGCAGUGGGGAAUUUUGGACAAUGGGCGCAAGCCUGAUCCAGCCAUGCCGCGUGCAGGAUGAAGGCCUUCGGGUUGUAAACUGCUUUUGUACGGAACGAAAAGACUCUGGUUAAUACCUGGGGUCCAUGACGGUACCGUAAGAAUAAGCACCGGCUAACUACGUGCCAGCCGCCGCCGUAAGAC
rnacentral:rRNA from 1 species